rnacentral:lncRNA from 14 species
UCCAAUUCCCCCCAAACUCCCUCAAUUCCCCCCUCAAACCCCGAAUUCCCCCAAAUUUCCCCAAAUUUCCCCAAUUUCCCCUCACGCCGCCCCCCGCUCACCUCCGGCCGCCGCCGCCGCCCCCUCCGCGGGCCGGGGGAGGCGCGGGGCGGGUUCGGCCGCCCGGGGAGGCCCCGCGGGGGUUUCCGGGGCGGCUCCUGGCGGUUCCGGGCGCUCCCGCGGCGCUUUUGGGGCAAUUUUCGGCGUUUUUGGGGCAAUUUUCGGCCUUUUCGGGGCUCCCGGCGCCGCCGCCGGCCGCGGCUGAGGGGAGAGGGGCGGAGCCUGCGCCGGAAGUCGCGCCCGCGCGGCUCUCGCGAGAGCGGCAACGGCCGCGCCCGCACUUUCCACACACGCGCCCUCGCCCCCCCCCCGUUUCCCUUCCGUCCCCCCAGGGCGGAAAACGCCCGGAAUCACCCCAAAACAGCCACAAAAAACACGGGGGGAAUUUAGCCGGGUGGCGGGUUCCGCGCGGAGGGCGCGGAGCGGAGAGCGGCGCGGCGGCCGUGGCGAAUCUGCCGCCGCCCGCACUUUCGCCACAUCGCCUUUACGGGCCCUUGGCCUCACUUCGGCGCGUUCCGAGCCCGUUUCUGCGAGUUAAUCGGCGUUUUUCCGCCUUUAACGCUUUUUUGGUGCCCUUCCGGGAUUAUUUCGGUUUUUAUUUCCCAGGGUUGUUUUCGCCUUCCGUUCCCGUGGCGAAUCUGCGGCCGGCGGCCGUGAGGGAGGGGAGGCGGGGCCUCGCUCUGCGCACGCGCGGCGGCGGCACCGCCCCUCGCCGUGUCCGGGCCGCUCUCCGCUCCCCGUUCGGUUUCACCGAAUUUUACCGAAUCCCGAGGCCGCCGCCGCUCCUUUUCCCCGAUGCUGCGGCGCCGCGUGACGUUCGAGGAGCCCCCGGGGGAGGGGGAGGGGCCGGAGGAGCCGCCCCGGAAACGGCGGUCGGUGGCCGUGGGGGGGCCCGGGAGCCGCUUCCCGGCGCAGCCGUCCCUGGACAGCGACGAGGACGAGGAGGAGGAGGAGGAGGAGGAGGAAGAGCAGCAGGGACCCCCCGUGGAGGGUGAGCCGGUUUGGGGCCAAUUCCGGCGAUUUUGGGUCGGUUUGUCCUGGGCGGGAUUGGAGCGGGGUUUGGGGUCAUUCUGGGGGAUUUUUGGGGCGAUUUUUGGGGAUUUUUACGGUGGUUUUUUGCAGUGUUUUGGG